GACGAACGCUGGCGGCGUGCCUAACACAUGCAAGUCGAACGGAGAUACGCGCUGAACGGAAGCAGCUUGCUGAAGAAGUUCUUGUGUAUCUUAGUGGCGGACGGGUGAGUAACACGUGAGUAACCUGCCGAAGAGUGUGGAAUAACGCCCCGAAAGGGACACUAAUACCGCAUGAUACUUCAUUGCCGCAUGGUGAUGAAGUCAAAGGAGCAAUCCGCUCUUCGAUGGACUCGCGUCCGAUUAGAUAGUUGGUGAGGUAACGGCUCACCAAGUCGACGAUCGGUGGGCGGGCUGAGAGGCUGAACGGCCACAUUGGGACUGAGACACGGCCCAAACUCCUAAGGGAGGCAGCAGUGGGGAAUAUUGCACAAUGGGGGAAACCUGAUGCAGCGACGCCGCGUGAAGGAAGAAGUAUUUCGGUAUGUAAACUUCUAUCAGCAGGGAAGAAAAUGACGGUACCUGACUAAGAAGCCCCGGCCAAUUACGUGCCAGCAGCCGCGGUAAUAC
rnacentral:rRNA from 1 species